GGGGGUGUAGCUCAGUGGCAGAGCGCUUGCCUAACAUGCAGGAGGUCCUGUAUCCCCA
rnacentral:tRNA from 1 species